GAUAUGGCUCAGUAGCAAAGUGUCUGCUUGGUAAGCACAAGGUCCUGAGUUCAAUUCCCAGUAUC
rnacentral:tRNA from 1 species